rnacentral:rRNA from 1 species
AGACCCGAAACCCGGUGAUCUAGCCAUGGGCAGGUUGAAGGUUGGGUAACACUAACUGGAGGACCGAACCGACUAAUGUUGAAAAAUUAGCGGAUGACCUGUGGCUGGGGGUGAAAGGCCAAUCAAACCGGGAGAUAGCUGGUUCUCCCCGAAAGCUAUUUAGGUAGCGCCUCGUGAAUUCAUCUCCGGGGGUAGAGCACUGUUUCGGCUAGGGGGCCAUCCCGGCUUACCAACCCGAUGCAAACUGCGAAUACCGGAGAAUGUUAUCACGGGAGACACACGGCGGGUGCUAACGUCCGUCGUGAAGAGGGAAACAACCCAGACCGCCAGCUAAGGUCCCAAAGUCAUGGUUAAGUGGGAAACGAUGUGGGAAGGCCCAGACAGCCAGGAUGUUGGCUUAGAAGCAGCCAUCAUUUAAAGAAAGCGUAAUAGCUCACUGGUCGAGUCGGCCUGCGCGGAAGAUGUAACGGGGCUAAACCAUGCACCGAAGCUGCGGCAGCGAACGUAUCACCCAAGACAACUUUACGGAGUUGACGAUUGACGGAGCGAAGCGACGUCAAAGCGUUCAUUAAAGUCGAGUUGGCUUAGGGAUACGUUCGUUGGGUAGGGGAGCGUUCUGUAAGCCUGUGAAGGUGUGUCGUGAGGCAUGCUGGAGGUAUCAGAAGUGCGAAUGCUGACAUAAGUAACGAUAAAGCGGGUGAAAAGCCCGCUCGCCGGAAGACCAAGGGUUCCUGUCCAACGUUAAUCGGGGCAGGGUGAGUCGACCCCUAAGGCGAGGCCGAAAG